GUUACCAGCACGUUAUGUGGGCACUCUAAGGAAGACUGCCGGUGACAAACCGGAGGAAGGUGGGGAUGACGUCAAGUCAUCAUGGCCCUUACGGCCUGGGCUACACACGUGCUACAAUGGUCGGUACAAAGGGUUGCCAAGCCGCGAGGUGGAGCUAAUCCCAUAAAACCGAUCGUAGUCCGGAUCGCAGUCUGCAACUCGACUGCGUGAAGUCGGAAUCGCUAGUAAUCGUGAAUCAGAAUGUCACGGUGAAUACGUUCCCGGGCCUU
rnacentral:rRNA from 1 species